rnacentral:rRNA from 1 species
GAUGAACGCUGACAGAAUGCUUAACACAUGCAAGUCGAUGGGGAAGUGGUGCUUGCACCAUGGUAACCAUGGCGGACGGGUGAGUAACGCGUAAGGAACUUACCUGCGGGACCGGGAUAACAGCAGGAAACUGCUGACAAGACCGGAUAAGGUCAUUAAGCUGCAUAGCUUAGUGAUGAAAGGAGACGCCUGCGGAGAGUCUUGCGUCCUAUUAGCUAGUUGGAGGGGUAACGGCCCACCAAGGCGAAGAUAGGUAGCCGGCCUGAGAGGGUGGACGGCCACAAGGGGACUGAGAUACGGCCCUUACUCCUACGGGAGGCAGCAGUGGGGAAUAUUGGACAAUGGGGGCAACCCUGAUCCAGAAAUUCUGUGUGCACGAAGACGGUUUUCGGAUUGUAAAGUGCUUUCAGCAGGGAAGAAGGAAGUGACGGUACCUGCAGAAGAAGCGACGGCUAAAUACGUG